CCUACGGGAGGCAGCAGUGGGGAAUAUUGGUCAAUGGUCGCAAGUCUGACCCAGCAAUGCCGCGUGAGUGAAGAAGGUCUUCGGAUUGUAAAGUUCUUUUAUCAGGGACGCAGAAAAUGACGCUACCUUAGGAAUAAGCCACCGCAAACGAUGUGCCAGCAAGCGCUGUAAUACAUCCGUGGCAAACGUUUGCCGGAAUGGCUGGGGGUAAAGGUAGCGUAGGUGGUCUGUUAAGGUGGGAGUGAAAUCCCGGGGACCAACCCCGGAACUGCUUUCAAUACUGACGGACUUGAGUGUGAGAGGGGUAAGCGGAAUUCGUAGUGUAGCGGUGGAAUGCGUAGAUAUUAGGAGGAACACCAGUGGCGAAGGCAGCUUACUGGAU
rnacentral:rRNA from 1 species